GGAUUGGAGUGCAUCUGAUAGAAGUUGUCACAAAAAAAUAACCUUCAUUAAGAGUCAUCACUGAAGUGCAGUCCAGCAACAAUUACAUCUGAUAAACUGCAAGAUGCAGAAUCUAGAAUUCUUGAAGCUACUGUCAGACUUGCUGCUGCUGAAUAUUUCUCCGGGAUGCAUCUAGGAGGGUGGACACACAGUCAGCGGCUC